rnacentral:rRNA from 1 species
GAUGAACGCUGGCGGCGUGCCUAAUACAUGCAAGUCGAGCGAACAGAUGAGGAGCUUGCUCCUCUGACGUUAGCGGCGGACGGGUGAGUAACACGUGGAUAACCUACCUAUAAGACUGGGAUAACUUCGGGAAACCGGAGCUAAUACCGGAUAAUAUAUUGAACCGCAUGGUUCAAUAGUGAAAGACGGUUUUGCUGUCACUUAUAGAUGGAUCCGCGCCGCAUUAGCUAGUUGGUAAGGUAACGGCUUACCAAGGCGACGAUGCGUAGCCGACCUGAGAGGGUGAUCGGCCAGACUGGAACUGAGACACGGUCCAGACUCCUACGGGAGGCAGCAGUAGGGAAUCUUCCGCAAUGGGCGAAAGCCUGACGGAGCAACGCCGCGUGAGUGAUGAAGGUCUUCGGAUCGUAAAACUCUGUUAUUAGGGAAGAACAAAUGUGUAAGUAACUAUGCACGUCUUGACGGUACCUAAUCAGAAAGCCACGGCUAACUACGUG